GCUUCCUGAGUGCUGGAAGGAGGACCGCUGCUGAAAGGCCCAUUUCCACCUGGCCUAGGGGGCAGGGCCCAGACUCCAGAGUGAGCUAAAAGAGGCUCCUGGGAGGUCACUGGGACAUUGCUGGAACAACUCUUGGGUUGCGACAACUGGCUAAAAUGUUUUAAAUGGUUCUAAUUUUGGUUCCUCUGUUUUCUUUUUGUCGGGUUAGUGUUGGUUAAAUGUUUAGUUGGAGUUGGUGGUUACUUUGAGUAUAACUGUAAACUGUUUGUUAUUAUUGUUAUUGGUUUUUAUUUAUUUAUUGGUUUGUUUGUUGCUUGUAUAGGAUAUCUCUUUUUUAAUGUUUGAUGUUUUGUUGUGUUUUAUUUGUUGCAAGCUGCCCAGAGUGGCUGGGGAAACCCAGCCUGAUGGGAGGGAUAUGAAUGAAAUAUGAUGAUGAUGAUGAUGCAAAGUAAAAGAGGCAUUUUGCCAAAGGCCAACUAAAUCCACUCAAGUAUUAAAGUCACAGUGCUAACAAGUUGCUUCAAACUUAGCAACUCUGUACUUAAUUUCCCCCUGAAAUCAUCCUGUACAUGUCUACUUGAACAUAAAUCUCAUUAAAUUCAACAGGGCUUACUCCCAGGUAAGUGAGUGUAUUGCUUUUGGCUACACUGCCCUGUUGUUAAAUGAUUGCUUCAUGUUGCUGCAAUACAUCAUAGUCAAUAUUACCAGUAUUUUUAUCUCUCUAGAUAAAACAUAUAUGUAUAUGUUUCUUAGUUUUUUAAAGAAUGUAUUUUGUCAUGAGGAAAGGAGAGUUGUCAUAGAUCACAAAGUCUGAGAAAAAAUAAUUACAUUUUAAGCAGGGUGCAUGCUAAUACUGUUUUCACAGAAGAAAAUUAGCCCCAUUGUGAUUUGUCGUCUUGUCUAGGAAGUUAUUUAUUCCAGCCUUUCUUUUAAUGGGGUAAAAUCUAUUUUGCAAGCUGGCAUGUGAGUUGAACUGAAUUAAUGCAAACCCAUUAUUUACAUUUCGAGAUACUUGUCUUUGCUGUGGCAUGGCAUAUGGGAAAAUGUUAACAAUUUCACUGGUGUUGACUAACAAAUCAAAACUUUCAGGAGUUUUUUUUUAAUACCCUGACUAAUGGAGAUAGAUGCCUAACACCGCUCCCCCACUGUUUUGUGUCUCACAGACACAGCAUCUGUCUUUUUUGCCAUUGGAAAAACAAGAUUCAUUAAUAACGUUGCUUUCAAAUGAUGUAUAGCCGAACAUACGUCCUGCAACACAAUCCUUCUAGAAAGCAAUAAUCAGACUACACAAACAACACUCCUAACAAACACAGGGAAAUGUCUGGUGGCCAUGACCUAGUGCUAAAUAUAUGUUAAAAAAUGAAAUUACACACAAACCACAUGUAUAACUCUAAACCUCCUUACAACCUGCUGCAAUCCUUUUCUGACAUACCUGGGCAUAAGACCCAGUCAUCUUAAUAGGACUUACUUCUGAUUAGAUAUGUAUAGGGUUGACUAUAAUAUCUAGAUUCCUCUUGGUUACAAUUAUUUUGGUUACAUUCUGAUUACAGGGAUCUACAAGAACUUGGGCUUUACAAGAAGUGGAAUGUUGAAUAUAGUUUCUUUUAUUUAAUUUUAGCUUAGAAUAGUAAUUUAUAUCCCACUUCUCUCCAUUAAAAUUGGACCCAAGGUAGUUUACAGAAGUAAAAACUUUUUAAAAAUAUUACACCGCAUCACGUUCUGUGUAGAUCAAUAACAUACAUGUAAAAAACACACGCUACACCGCAAAACUAAAUGCACGUUACAAAAUACAAAAACACAAUAGCAAAAUCCAGACAUCAUUGUGAGCCUUUAGUUAGCAACAGCAACUGUGUUGCUGUAUACAUUCAAGUUUAUUUAAUAUUUUUUUAAAAGGCUUCUUGAAAUGUAUAGAAAAUUACUGAGACUGAAAUCCUAUACACAAUUACCAGGAAGCAGAAUUUGUUCAACUCAAAUGGAAUUACUUCUAGUAGACACAUAUAGGCUUCCACUGUAAAUCCUCAAGAAUUGUGCUCUUUAAAUUCUGCUUUAAAUGCAGGAGCCAGCCAGGUCUUUUCAAAAAGCUCAUCAAAUGUUGUAGUACCAACAGAAGCAAAAAAACAAAACAAAAACAAAGCAAAGCAUUGUUCAACUACUGAUGCGAAAAGCCUGGAAAACUUGUACCAAACUUACCAAGGCAACACGGUUUCCCCCAGGAGGCAUGGUUAAUCAUGAAGCAAAUUUGAGAUAUGAAGGGCUUUCUUUCCUGGUUCCUUGCUACAAGAAGCUUUGUCCUUAAAUCCAUCUGGUUGUGCCCUGCGCAGCUCAAGACCAGGGGUUUCCUUUUCUGAGAAGGCAUAUUUCAUGUUGGUUUCAGUUUUAUAAAUGUUUCCCUUGGCUUGCUUUCGCUAGGCCGGCUGCCACUUGUUGCAAUGGUAACAGGGGAAGCCAGGAUCUGCUUUCUGCUCAGUCGGCUGGAAUGAAUAAUUAACUCCCCCCCCCCACCUCUCCUCAUUAGCAUUCCAUUCAAGCGACACAAAUGAAGCAAUUCAUUUCUCUUUUUUGUCCUCAGAAGCUCACUGGAUUAAUGAGGGUUAUCUAGGAGAUAAGGCCCAGGCCUGCUGAUUUUAUUUAGCCUGAUUGGUUAGAAACGGUGUAUCCUAAAUGCAGGGCCCCAUUUGCCCGCAUAUCAAUUUUUGGCUGCUGCAUUUUUCAACCUUCUUCUGGCAGGAGAUCUUACAUUCAGCCAGGGAGGAUAUCUAUCUGGCGGACGCCGCAUGAAUCUUUCAUUUUUGCAACUUUAAUAUUUUAUGCUGGCAGUGUUCUCUGUUUAUAGGUGCUUUGUGGAGCCACGUGAAGGACAGGUCUAGCACCAGAAAAUGCCCUUAUAUGUAACUUCCUCCUGGCCAAUUUGGCACUCCUGCCGGUGAGUUUGCACCACAACUGAAUUCACCCCUCCAGCAGCUCACCUGCUGAAAGGUUGGGUAAAAGUGCCUCCACCUCACCUCACUGUGGACAUAAACCACUUACUUUUCUGUAAGCUGCUUUGAGACAUACAGUGAAAAGUGGGGUAGCCUUUUUUUAAAAAAAUAUGUAGGAUAAAUAGGUAGAGGACACAAUCUGUAUUGGCCUGGUGUGCCAUCCCCAAUGAAAUGAAUGGGAACAGCCCAAGAGUAUACUUGUGUUUUUUAAUGGAUGCUGCAUCUGUAAUAACAACAAGGCAGUGUGCCUUAUAUACAGUCAGGCAACCAGUUCAUUGAAUUAUUUACUGCAGUUGGGAAGAUCUAGGAGACAUCUUUCUCAGCCCACUAUCUGUCAUCUUUCGGACCAAAGAUUGAACCUGGGACCAUCACUUUUGCGGCUUCCUUCCAAUUUUUGGGUUUUUUCUAUAUCUUUUCCAGAGGUUUUGCAGUCCUCAGGUGCACUAGAUCAUAACACUCUGUUCCUUCUGAUAUUCAGCAAGCCUCAUCCCUUGUAAUGUUUUCAAGAGCACUGAAGACCAAUUUCUUCUCAAAAACCUUCAGUGGUUAAAGCAUACUGGGGUCUUUGUGUUGUGGGUCUCCUGGAUUUUAUUGUUGUUUUUGAUGUUUUUAGCUUUAGAGCAGCUAUGGAAUGAAGUUUUAAACUAUUUAAAUAUUUUAAAAUAUACUGAAAAGUUGCUGUCACUGUCGUUUUAGAUAGAGUUGCAAGUCUCUUUGUGGGAAAGAUUUCUUGAAAAGCGGGAUAUGCAUUUAUGUGAAGUCUUAAAAUAAACCAAUAUUUGAUUUCAGAAACCCUGUUUCCUUAUAUGGGGCCAAGGCAAUAGCAGCUGGCUAGAAUCAGAGAAGAAUCUGGCAUGUCAAGAACAGCAUCUGAGAGAGUGGAAGAGGAGCUUGGAGGAAUCUUAGCAAGUCGGAGGGGCAUGGCACUAUGAUAGAAUCUUGGCCGAGGUGAAACCAAAGAAGAGGAAGAAGGGUGGAACCUAGUAAAAUCUAACAGGUCUAGCACAAAGCCUAUGACAAAACCUUGGUUUUAUUGCCUAUGCAGAACCUAUAUUAACUAGGCCACAUAUUUGUACAUAAUAAGAGAAAGAGGAAGGAGC